rnacentral:lncRNA from 1 species
CAUCAACUGAGUUCUUUCCAGAGAGGGACCUUGUAAGGCUGACUUUGGAAUAUGACUGCAUUCUGAUGGAGAGAUUUCCAGUUUAAGAUGCCAUACUGAACAUAUACACUGAUCUCUUUGCCUUUGGAAACUCCAUUAAGCUGAUUGUAAAGGAGGAAAAGGAUUCUCACAUGACAAUGAAGAGACUGAAGAAGUAUCAUCAAUGGAUAAAGCAGAAUAGAAAUAGCAGCCGCCUGGACCAUACCUAGAAAGGAAUCAUUUUGCCUGGCAGAAGCAUGAAACAGUUCCAUAUUUGAGAUGGCAUUUACCACUGAGGGAAAAAAAAAGUAUCAUGUGAAAGAAGCAAGAAUUGGACUGACCACACACUUGUCAUUGCCAAUCAGAUGCUGCAAAACAAUGGAUCUGUUUUUCAGAGUUCUGAAAUAAAAUGCUAAUCAAACUAGAAUCUGCUUAGCUAAGACACUGCCAAAUAUGAAGACCAAAUAAAAGAUUUUCAGAUGUGUCAUAAUUCAGAGUUUAUACUCCAAGCAUUCUUUUGUAGAAAGGAACUCAAGGGUGUAUUUCAGCAAAAUAAAGAAGUAAAGUACUAGAGCCAUCACUCAGAGAGCAAAUGACCAGACCAGAUGCUAACAACAAACAUUGUGUGACUUCCUAUCUCCAGCCACUUCUGAAGUCAGAUCUAUUUUCUUGAGUAAGUAAUUUUUUUCCAAGUUUGGGUUGUUUUUCAUACCAUUUGGAACCAAGAGUUCUGGUAGUCACAAUAAUGUUUGGAGAUACUAGAUGGACUGUAAAAGCAGAAUCUCUAUGUACGUUCUCCGCUGAACAGCACGGGAAUUGGUGCCACAGAGAAAGAAAUGUGAUCCUACCAAACCAGUUAGCUCAAGAGCAAUGCUUAGGUAGCCAUAGCAAUUUAAACUGUUUAUUGAUUUAAAAUUUUUAGAAGUCACUGAGACCUUUAUAGUCAGAGAAAUUGUCAACCUUGACAAGUAUAAAGGUAAAUGUACAUGUAACCAAAGUCGGGAAGUGAAAGAGAGUGAAGAAAGGUAGGUAAGGUAGACAGAGGGCAGGAAAGCCCAUGUCCUCAUCUCCCAAAGCAGGUAGUGAAGAGAUCUGCCCUGUGAAGACCAGAAUAAGAAUUGGAGGUACACUUAACAGUCCCUGCCAUGUCAUCAACAAAUGGUGUUGAGAACACAUUGUAGGAAGGGAAAUGCUUACAUUCAUAGAAAUACAGAAGCCAUAUGAUUUUUAAAUAUCAUUUCAGAAGUUCAAAAAUAAGUCUACAAACUCAUGUGAUGGAUAUUAGGUCUAUUCCUAAGUAGUCUCAUACUAUAGAUGGAAUUUGUGCUUGGCGUCUUUUUCCCUUUUUAGGAACAUUUGGUCCACAGUGCAGUUCAAAAAAAAAAAAAAAUGGGUAAAGGACCAAAGCAGGCAGUUCAUGCAGGCAAACCCACACAUUCACAAAAGGUGAAAAUAUAAAAAUAAAAAUGUUAAAUAUUACCAGGAAUCAAAGAAAUGCAAAAUAAAAUAUCAAAAUAGGAUCAUUUUAAUUUGGAUUAUCAGAGAUUAAAAAGAUUGGAGAACCACACUGGUAGCAAGGCUGUAGAGAAGUUGGCACUUUCAUAAUCAGCUGGUGGUAGAAGAAGGACUGAAAACUUUCUGGAGGGAAGUUUACGAGUAAAUGUCAAAAUUAUGCAUAUUUUUUGGUAUAGCAAAUCUAACUCUAGGAAUGUACUUUAAGGUUAACAUUGGAUAAAUGUACAAAGAUGCAAGUUCAAGAAUACUUUUUGAAACUUUGUUUACAAUAUCCAGAAAUUAAAACUAUUUAAGAAUUCAUCCAGACAAAAUUAGAUAAAUAAAUUAUGUAACACAUAAAAAUGAAUGGUGCAGGUCUAAAUUGGUUGACAUGGAAAAUGUCUACAUUCUGUUGCUUAGUAUAUAUAAUACGACUUUAUUUUUGUGGAGGGGAAGAAGGAAAUGUUUAUGUAGCUGUGUACAUAGUGAAAACUCUGGAAAUACAUGUCUCAGAGCCAUGAGUACCAAGGUGGGGCUUGGUGCCAUGGUCUGCCCUGGAAGCAGAUAAAAAAAGCGGUGCAAUGUCUACGGUAUAUUUGUAAAUAGUAGUAAUUCUCACUAAAAGUUGGUCUUCUCUUUAUUAUCACCAUGUCCAGAAAAUCUAAACUAUUUUCAAGAUAGAACAUUUUUUCCUGCUGAGGCAGAUGACUCUACUCCUACCAUACCCCUUCCUUGGUGUGCUAUUCCAUCAGAGGUAAAAAAUAUGGUAUCCCAGUGAGAAAAUAAAAUUAGGUGAGAGGGCCAGCUAAUCAAGAAAGUUAUAGAACAUAUUUCUUUGUGUAAGUAAAAAAUAUCAGGGUCAAGUAUAGGACCUUCCAGUCCUUGCCUGGUCUCCGCUGUGGACUUCCUGGACUCCGUGUCCUCUAGUUUGGCCGCUGGCCCAUCAGAGGGAGCCAUGCCACAAAUGCAGCCUUUUUCUUUCAUGAGCUUGAAUGAUUUUUUUUAAAGUCUUAUUCCCAUGGCAAGUUUGAAUUUUAAAAGAGAAUCACUAAAAAUGCCAUGCUUUAAUCUAAAGUAAUGAAUAUCUUAACGGUGGUGAAUUUAGGCAGCAUGGCUGGCUGAUGGGAAAGUUAUGUAACUAUUUCAGGAAGUAGAUUUUAAGGCAGUAAAGAGACUAGGAAAGGAGAAGACAGAAAUUUGUGUAGCAUAUCUUACAUCAUAUCGUCAUAUCAUACUGUUACAAUGUGUAAGGCCAGGCCUCAGGUUUUCCAGAUAUAAAUCAGAUGCUAUCAUGAAAAAAUUAACUGGCCCUGACUCAAGGUCUGUGUAGUUUUAAGCCCAUGCAUACAUAAUGUUUCUUAUGUGUCUGGUAGAAGGCACUGGGAAAGAAAAAGAGAAUGAUAGGAACAUAAGAUUUAUGGAUGAAAAAAUAAUAAAGACAUUACCAAAAUGGGCUAAGUCCUUGCUCAAAUGUUACCUUCUAAAUUAGGCCCAAUUCCCCAUUUAAAAUCAGCUCCCCUUAGCUUCCCAUUUUUCUGAUCUUACUUUCUUCCCCCCCAUAGAUCUUACCACCAUCCAACAUCUUAAAACAUUUAUUAUUUUUAUUGCUUAUUGCCUCUUUUCCCUGCAUGGAGCUCCAUGAGGGCAAGUACUUUUGUUUGUUUUGCUCAUAUAUCCCAAGAGCUGAGGAACAAUGCUUGGCAUAAAAUAAGUAUUUAAUCAAUAUCGUUGCCUGAAUGAAUUAAUGAAUGAAUGACAGAGAGGAUACGGAGCUGUCCUGCGGCCCUCCAUGGCCCAGGCUAGACAACACCAAGAGGGAGCACUUCCAGGUGUUACCAGGAAAGGGUCAAGCUCCUUUUUUUUAUUAAACAAUUAGACGUUAACUAUUGUUAUCUAAAAAUGGGCAUUUAAUCCUUGUGCUACUGCUUCAGGGUGCCUUUCAAGAUAAAUUGUAGGUUUUAAAAAAAUUGUAAUGUGGAGAAUUAGUAAUAGGAGAGUUUACUGCAGCUAUUCAGUUAUUUUUCCUGAGAACUGAGGAAAGAUUACCAGCUAUUUAUGAGAAGUAUCUGUUUUAUGGAUUAGUAAAUUGAGAAUUAGUU